AUUGAACGCUGGCGGCAGGCCUAACACAUGCAAGUCGAACGAGUGGAGGACGGGUGGGUAAUGGCUUGGAAACUGCCUGAUGGAGGGGGAUAACUGCUGGAACAGUUAGCUAAUACCGCAUACCAUCCUAUGUGCCCAGGUGGGAUUAGCUAGUUGGUGAGGUAACGGCUCACCAAGGCGACGAUCCCUAGCUGGGCUGAGAGGAUGACCGGCCACACUGGAACUGAGACACGGCCCAGACUCCUACGGGAGGCAGCAGUGGGGAAUAUUGGACAAUGGACGAAAGCCUGACGCAGCAAUGCCGCGUGUAUGAAGAAGGUUUUCGGGUCGUAAAGUACUGUCAUCAGAGAGGCGUUAUCUGAAGAAAAAGCACCGGCUAACUACGUGCCAGCAGCCGCGGUAAUAC
rnacentral:rRNA from 1 species